rnacentral:rRNA from 1 species
UACAGAGGUCUCAAGCGUUGUUCGGAUUCAUUGGGCGUAAAGGGUGCGUAGGUGGCAUGGUAAGUCGGAUGUGAAAUCCCGGGGCUCAACCCCGGAACUGCAUUCGAUACUGCUGCGCUAGAGUACUGGAGAGGAGAUUGGAAUUUACGGUGUAGCAGUGAAAUGCGUAGAUAUCAGGAGGAACACCGGUGGCGAAGGCGGGUCUCUGGGCAACAACUGACGCUGAGGAGCGAAAGCGUGGGGAGCGAACAGG